AAAUAACAUUCGUGAUUUUUUGCGGAUUUGAGUUUUCCAGUAUUUAUUAUUAUAAAUAAAUGUUGGUGACUUUAAAAUUAUUUAUUACUUGGUAUAAGUUGAAAACGUGCUAUAUGUGUGGUUCGCUGACAACUUGUCCAUCUUUAUAUAUUAUGCGCGCACUUGAAUUUUUUGUCUGUACGAGCAUAUAUUUUUU
rnacentral:misc_RNA from 1 species